rnacentral:lncRNA from 1 species
GCUCCGGCAUGACGGGUGACUUCUUCCGAGUCUGGCUUCUGCAGCACACAGGGCUUCGCCAGCACCCAGCUCCUGCAGCAUGGGCAGCUCCUGUGACAGCAGGCGCCCGCAGCCUGCAAAGCGUCUCCAGUGCCGCCGCCUCAGUGAACCUCAACCAGCGGCACCUAGCAGCUUUCUCUGCCACCCUCUUCAGGUAGUUCUGUAGCAGCGCGUUUCUCAUGAGACACUUCCCUGUGAGCAGCUUUUUCUACCCUUGAGGAUGGAUUUCCAGCAAAUUCUGCCCAUGUGGUACCACAGCCACUUCUCUGCCAUUCAGUGAAACUGCCGUUGUGCCCUCUUCAAGGUCUGGAUCUAAGCCCAGGGACCAGGAAACCUCUUGCUUGAGUGCUGGAACUCAGGCCAGAAGGCAGGAAGCCCGCCUGACCCCAUGUCUCAGGCUGCCAGAGGAGCGUGCGAUGAGGAAGGCUGGACUGUCUUCACAGGACACCAGGG